CGUAGCAGCUCCCAGAUCAUGGAUCAAUCAGCUCCUUAAGACAAGGAGAUGUUGGCGGACGGCGUGCAGAUGCAGGCGAAGUCGGACAUCAACGCUUUCCAUCAAAGAUGAGUUCAGCCAUCUGUUCGGCUCCAGUAAACAAACAUCUGGCCUUUAUCAGGUCUCCACCUGAGAGGCUGUUUUGGAAUUAGCUCGAACAGCCGGAGAUAGCGACCUGCUCAAACAAACCCGACAAAUCAGGAAACAACACCUCUGCAUUAUUUACAGAGAAGCUGAGAGACAGCGUUCGUCUGCUGAUGUUUGCACCUCCCUCACCGUCUGGAGCGGCUCGCAACCGGACUCAACCGUCGGAACAAGCCCAACCUUCCCCGCAUCACACUCCGGCGCAUGAGAGGAGGUGGCGUCCGCGGUGACGCGAUGUGGCAUUUUCCUUCCCCCGGCGGGCUGCAGAGCUCGAGCUGCGCCGCCUGACUGCACAGAUGAGCCACAUGGAGAAUACACAAAGAGCUGAAGGA